ACUAUUGAUUUUUCAUCCUGAUGACUGUCCUCGGCCGCUUUCCCUGCAAGAGCUGACACAUAAAUUAAUUUUUCUCCUCUUUCUGGCAGGGUGCAGCAGGUCUCAAUGGGAAGAAUGGAAACAAGGGAGCCAAAGGUGACAGGGGUCUUCAGGGGCAGAAGGGGAAGCCGGGAGGGAAAGGUGAUCCUGGGACCACGGGUGACAUCGGGCAGAAAGGAACAAAGGGCUUACAAGGCCUUCCAGGACGCACCGGUGCUCCCGGAGCCAAAGGCACCAAGGGAGAAAUUGGCAGUCCUGGAAAAGCAGGGAUCCCAGGGCUGGAUGGAUCCAACGGACAAAAGGUGCAUGUCUAAAUUAUGCACUUGCCUACAAUAAGAGGUUUCCAAAAAGCUUUGCAGAUGCUGC
rnacentral:lncRNA from 1 species